rnacentral:lncRNA from 1 species
CUAAAACUAUCUUUAUUAGGAAGAAUAGCAGUGGUUAAAACAAACAUUCUCCCCAAAUUGUUAUAUAUCUUUCAAAAUCUACCAAUAAUUAGAAAUAAUCGGUUAUUUAAAGAGUGGAACAGAGAUAUUUCAAAAUUUAUAUGGAACAACAAAAAAACAAGGAUAAAUUUUACAAACAUGACAGAUGACAGACACAGAGGAGGACUGGGCCUACCUAAUUUGGAAUUAUACUUUGAAGUAUGCUGCCUAGACCGGAUUAGAAAAUUGAUAUCCCUCCAAAACGAAACAAAAACUACUCAUAUUAGAAGGCCACAACCUAAGGGCAGGCUGGCACACGUACUUAUGGUACCAAAAAGAAAAAAUUGAGAAGAAUUUCGGGAACCACUUCAUCUGACCCGCACUACUAAAGAUCUGGGAGAAAUAUAAAAACAGACUCUGCAACAAGACCCCGCUCUGGGUCUCACCAUAGAAGCCAGCCAAAGAAGAGAAGUGGCGUGGAAAGUCUGGCCAACCUACAAGGACAUAUUGAAAAAAGAAAAUAAAGAAUUUACAAUGAAAUUACUGGAAGAAAUUACUCCCCAAUUUGGCAGGAUAUCAUGGCUCCAAUGUUACCAAAUGCAAGAUCAUUUUAAAAAAGACAAGAAAUUAGGGUUCUCAGCAGACAUAUCCCCAUGGGAUAGGAUAAUGAAAGAAAGAAAGAAAACCAUAACCGGAAUAUAUAAAAUACUACUCGAGUGGAACACAGAGCAAGAAACUAUCAAACAAUAUGAAAUGUGGUAAAAUAGAAGGAACUCUCCAACACCUUUGGUGGACAUGUGACAAAGAAAAAUAGUAUUGGAAAGAAAUAUAUGUAUUAAGCCAAAAGAUUUUAAAAAUAAAAAUCCCCUUAAAACCAGAGUACUUCUUGCUAGGAUUAACAGAUACAGAUUGGCCUAAAACAUAGACAGACUUUUCACAUUUAUCACGACAGCGGCAAGAAUCAUCUAUGCGAGAGGCUGGUGGCAGGAAAAGAUACCCACGAAAGAAGAUUGGAUUGUGAAGAUGUUGGACAUCAUGAAUAUGGAUGAAUCGACAUCUCUGAUCACCAAAACCCAGGGUAAAAGAAAAAGCAAGACUGACUGG